rnacentral:rRNA from 1 species
UACAGGGGGGGCAAGCGUUGUUCGGAAUUACUGGGCGUAAAGGGUUCGUAGGUGGCCAACUAAGUCAGACGUGAAAUCCCUCAGCUUAACUGGGGAACUGCGUCUGAUACUGGAUGGCUUGAGUGUAGGAGAGGAAUGCUGGAAUUCCGAGGUGUAGCGGUGAAAUGCGUAGAUAUCAAGAGGAACACCUGAGGUGAAGACGGGUUGCUGGGCUGAUACUGACGCUGAGGCGCGAAAGCUAGGGUAGCAAACGGG